UACGUAGGUGACAAGCGUUGUCCGGAUUUACUGGGCGUAAAGAGCGCGCAGGCGGUCGAUCAAGUCGAGUGUGAAAGCCCCCGGCUCAACUGGGGAGGGUCAUUCGAUACUGAUCGACUCGAAGGCAGGAGAGGGUAGUGGAAUUCCCAGUGUAGCGGUGAAAUGCGUAGAUAUUGGGAGGAACACCAGUGGCGAAGGCGGCUCACUGGACCGGUACUGACGCUGAGGCGCGAAAGCGUGGGGAGCAAACGGG
rnacentral:rRNA from 1 species